rfam:Oryza glumipatula chromosome 12, whole genome shotgun sequence.
AAUAAGUGCAGUUUUGCACUAUUCAUGUCCAGCAUUUGACCGUUCGGCUUAUUUGAAAUUUUUUUAUGAUUAAUGUUUUUGUUGUUAUUAGAUGAUAAAACAUGAAUAGUAAUUUAUGUGUGACUAAUUUUUAAAUGUUUCAAAUAAGACGGACAGACGUUUAAACGUUGGAUACAGAUAUCCACGACUGCACUUAUU